CCCGGGCCGGGGAUGCGCCCUCCUCCCCCUUUUGCCUUCUUUUCUCCUUUUUUUCCCCCCCCCUUUCUCCCCCUCCGACAAAACGGGCUCCGAUUUAUUAACUUUAUUUUGUUAUUGCCGUUGCAAUUUUUUUUUCUUCUUUUUUUUAAUAUAGGAGCUUUCCAAGAUCUGGAAGCACAACUGGUUAUUUUGAUUUGAUUGACAAGUGAUGUCAUAUCGUUAAGGGGGGGGGGGGGGAGACGACAACAUGUUUUAGCAACAGUUAGUGGUACCCUGUGAUGGAGUUGACACCUAUGCCCGGGCAGAGGCGAAAGCAGAAAACAAAUACCCGCGCCCGUGCUCACAGACUAUUUAUUUACACGCCUGGAGUGGGGUUUCUUCCUCUUUUUAUUAUUUUUUUUUUUUCCCCUGAUCCUGGGAAAAAAGCGUACCUGACCAAACGGGGCUGAGCCGGACGGGACCCGCAGCCCCCGGGGCACUUUCCUCCAGGCACCCCCUUUCCCGGGCUGUCCCCGCCGGUUCCCCCCAACUUCCCCGGGGGUCGAGACCUCCGUACAGCAUCGUCCCCCUCCCCUCGCCCCGCUCCGCCCCGAAUUGCAACCCGCGGCGGCCGCAAGCAGGGAGGGCAGGCAAAACCCCGUGAAAAAGAAGGAAAAAAAGCGGGAAAGAAGCGUUCAGCCCCGCGCCGGGCCGCGGUGCUCACGGCCGCCGGUGCCCUGAGCGGUGUGCGAGUCUCGGGGCGGGCCGGGGAAGGCGGCUGCCCGCCGGCGGGGAGGGGGCUGUGGGCGUACCGCCCCGACCCCCCCCGCCCCGCCGGGGACCGCGGCAGGUAGAGGACCGGCCGGCCGGUGCCAGCGGCUCCCGCCCGCCCGCAGGUUAUUUCGGGCGCAGCUGUUGCAGGAGGGAGCAAAGAGGACGAUCCCGCAGUCUUUCGGGCUAUGCACCUGCACGUAAGAGGGGCAGCGGAGAAGCUGGAAGAGGCGCAAGGAGAUAUAUUAUGCGACGAGUCGUUGUUAAAGCUAGGAAAGAAACGGUAAAAUAUACAUCUGGUAGACCAGACCACUAAGAAAUUCGGCCAGAACGAAUGUUUUUGGAAAGGUUUGCGCUCCCCAGCCCCGGCUUGGCAGUCCUCACCUGCUGGCUAUUUUCCUGCCGGAAGAGGGAGACGCCGUCGCCGGCCGCGCCCCGGGAUCGCCCCUGCACGGAACGACUCUAAAACGAGGGACCGUCGCUCAGGCGGAAAAACUACGGGAAAAGCGGCGUUUGAAGCCUGCAGAUUUUUCCCCAAAAGGGGACAGACAGGAGUGCCCGAGCCGGGGACUCGGGGGGCGGGCUGAGACCGGCGGAGGCGCGGGGCUGCCCGAGGCUCACCGCGCCGCUGCCUGCUCGCCGGACGGGCUGUCCCGGGGCCAGGGCCACCCCUUCAGGUGCCACCACAGCCAUAUGGGGCCGGAGGGGCGGGGGGGUUGCGAUUUUCCCCUCAUGCCCGCUGGAAGAGAAGGUUGUUUUCCUCCGCUGUUUAGCUUUCGUACUAAAGAUGUCAUCUGAAAGUCUGGGAGGAAGGGGGAACUGUGCUCCGCUCUCUUCCACGGUAACAACCAUAUUCUGCAUAUUGAAAAAUAUUAUAGACAGUGGGGAAGGCUUUUUUUUUUUCUUCCCCUUAAAAAAAGAAAAAAAAAAAAGAACCAACCUUUUCAAUAUUGAUUCAACAAAAAAAGAGAAGGAGAGAAUUUAAAAAGAGAAGAAGCAGCACCAGCAGCAGGGAGAAUAUAGGCUCAGCAACUCUCCAGGUUCGCUUCCUUAUUAUUACUAUCCAGGGGUAAUUUUUCAUCUCUGCUAGCUAAUCUUUGUUCCUUGUGAAGAUAAUGAAUAGCCCAAUCCUUAUCUCCUGGGCUCCUGGAGGCUGCUGGAGAAUGGGGUUGAACAGGGUUGAAAAUUGGUUCCAAAGUGCUGCUGAAUAAAUGGUGUUCCUUAUCUCUCGCUUCCAGAUUAUCGGAACCCUUUCAAAACUCACACAACAAAUACAGCCACCGCAUCUAAUGCAUCAUUUACCAGAGCAGAUCUCCGCGUUUGAUCGGCAGAUAGGCAAAAUCUAUGUAUUCCUUGCUUUACUUAGUAUGCAUGGACGCGGGGCUGCUGUGCAUGCGGGGUGCCCCCGGCCGGGCCUGGGACACCCCCCGGGCUCUUAGCACACGCAGGUCUUUGCUGUGGACUCUGUGGGACGAGGAGAGUGUCCCCCGCCUGUCACCCACCCGGGGGGAGCAGGGUGGGACAGCAACACACCUCGCGAGGUGCUGCCAUGCGGCGCACUUGGAAAUUUGGGGUUGCUCCGCUGGGGAGCUGGUGGAUUUGCGGGGUGAGGACGAGAGGUGUGAGCAUCAUCCUGGGCACCCGCUUGCAACCACGCUCACUCCCGCACCCACGGUCGCAUUCGUUCACCUGCACCCACGAGCAGUCGCUGUUACAGGGGUGUGCGGCUGCCCCCCUGCUCCCCCAAAAUGCCACUUUUAGGCUCAGCUGUGACCUAGCCCUGCCGCAUCCCCUAGUGCUCUCAGGGCCCAGCUGGACCACUCUGGUAAAACCUCCCGGUGACCCCUCCAGGUUCUUCCCCCCGAAAUCCCAGCAGCCCAGCCGCGGAGCCCUGCCAGUCCCUUGGGUCCCAUGGGGGCUGGGACCGUCUUCCAGCCUUUCCCUUCGGUGCUGGGUGAUCCCCCCACGUCCCAGCUGCAGGCAGGACAGGGAACCUGGGGCAACCCGAGAUUGGGGAGCAACUGGUG